CUUGGUCAUUUAGAGGAAGUAAAAGUCGUAACAAGGUAUCCGUUGGUGAACCAGCGGAUGGAUCAUUACCAGAAAAGAUUACACCGAAUGUGGUGUGGCUGACGAAUAGUUAGCCUCUGGUUUGGUUGGAUGACCAGCCUGCCAGUGCUCAUGGUGUGGAAUGACUGGAGUUGGUGUUGAAGCCAACUCUUCGUCGCACGCUUGAUGAGUGGAGGGGUUGUUGGAAAGGAUGUUUCAAUUGAACUCCAGGCGAGAUGCCUCCUCAAUCCUGAGACUGCCAUUGACUUGACUGAAGCGAUUGUUGCAAAGAUGACAACUGCUGGCCGUGGAUCACUUGGCUGACGGAUCGAUGAAGAACGUAGCAAACUAUGUUAAACGGUGUGAAUUGCAGAACACGCAGAACACUGGAACUUUGAACGCACAUGGCAGGUUAGUGUUACAGCUAACCUUUGUCUGUGUGAGGGUUGUAAUGAGAGAAUAAAGGCUAUUUUUGGAAGAGCGGGGAGGUUGCCUGUUAAAUGUGUGACAUGCCCGCUGAUCGCAAUAAAAACACACUUGUGUUGCGCCUCUGGCCAGCGUCGGAGGUUAACGGCAACAGGACGAGUGGCUUUGUUUCUCACAACCUCACAUCAGGCAAGGCUACCCGCUUAAUUUAAGCAUAUCAAUAAGCGGAGGA
rnacentral:rRNA from 1 species